rnacentral:rRNA from 1 species
GUAAAUCUCACCAGGCCCAGACACUGGAAUGAUCGACAGGUUGAUAGCUCUUUCUUGAUUCAGUGGGUUGUGGUUCAUGGAGUGAUGGGUCUGGUUAAUUCCAAUAUUGAAAAAGACUCAGCCCUACUUAAUAAUGUCUGCUAUUCUUUGAGCAGACAAUUCGUCUUAGAGGGACUGACGACUCAUAGUCGCAAAAUAUUGCUAUACAAAUAAACAAUUCAGAGGUGAGCGAGAACAAACUAUCCGACAGG